GGGGGGGGGGGGUGGUCUUUGAUGUUCUGAUUAAACUUCAGGCUUGGUAGGAACUGUGUCCCUGCAUCUCCACAGUGUAGACUACACAAGUGCCCUCUCGCAGCUGUAGUACUAGUAUGUGUCUAGUAUGUAUUCCUGCAACUUCCCCUAGGGACUGUGUGGGGUUUUGUUCUUGUUUGUUUGGUUUGGUUCCCCCGCCGCUGUUCUUUUCCCCAGCUGGUUUGGGUUUCACCCAAUGGUCUAAGGGCCCCAGCUACCAAUUUUUAUUGUUUUUCCCCUACAGAUCAAGGUUUGUUCUCUACAGGGAAGAUGGGGGAGACACUUCUCUGCAAAUUUCCACAGCAGCUGGUGUUUCCCUCCCCCACCACAAGGAAAGCUUCUUCCAGAUUUUCCUCAGUCUUCUCUGUGAGCACCUGAAAUAACUCCUGAAUAUGCCACCUGUGAGAUAUGAGAAGGCUACAGAGAAGAAAUCUUUUUACCCCAUUUCCAUCAGUUUGAUAUUAGCAUCAAAGCAAAGCUCUGUUCUGGAGGCUGGAAGUCCAGGAUCCAGGAAUUGGUUGAGCUGGUGUUUUCUGAGGCCUCUCUCCUUGACUUGCAGAUAGCCACCUAGCUGCAGGCUGCAUUUUCACAUGGUCAUCCCUCUGCAUGCACACGUGACUGGUGUCUGUGUGUGUGUUCAAAUUACCUCUUCUUAUAAAGAUAACGGUAAUAUUGGAUUAGAGCCCAUCCUAAUAAAAAAUCAACAAACAACUUUAUUUUAACUUAAUCACCUCUUUAAAGACCUUAUCUCCAAAUAUGGUUACAUUCUGAGCUACUGGGCGUUAGGACUUCAUUCAACACAUAAAUUUUAGGGGGACAGUUCAGCCCAUGACAGGGUUUAACAAAUGGAUUUUAGAUGUUAGGGAACUGAAAAGCCUGAUACAUUUGUUUAAUAGUAAAAAAAUAAAAUCAAGACAAAGGUAUAUAUUCCAAGUGUUAGAGCAGUCAAGAGUGAGAAGAGCUAUGAUGACAUUGAGAUUGGGAUUCAGAUCUAAUGUUUUUGUCAAAAUCCUAUCACUAAUUAGCAGGUUUGUGCUGACUAAUGUAAUGUUAAACAGAUUUUUAAAAAUGUAUAAGUGAAUGCCAUUAAAAGUGAUUUUGAAAAAUUUGGGGCAGUCUCUUAUCUGAGCACAGAUAUUUGUGUCUAUUAUCUGUUGGAAGAAAGUCUUAAUUAGGGAAGUUACUUACGUGUCUCCUUUGAGAUAGGCUGUUUACACCACUGAUAAUUGUUUUCAAAGUUUAUGAACCUAAUUUUUCCUAGUUUCCAAAGAUUUCUGGACAAUACAAUCAGUGGGUGCAAUUUUUUAAACACUAAGUGAAAUAGUGUUACUCUCAGGUUUUUUCCUUCUGACGUGGGGUAAUAAAGAUUUUCUUCUUUGAACUGUGUUUUACUUAUCCUUUUUC
rnacentral:lncRNA from 1 species